AUUAGUGACGAUAGCAAAGAGGAUACACCUGUUCCCAUCCCGAACACAGAAGUUAAGCUCUUUUACGGCGAAGAUAGUGUUAAAGCGAAAAUAGCGAGUUGCUAAUU
rnacentral:rRNA from 1 species